rnacentral:rRNA from 1 species
CGCGUGGGCGACCUACCUUCGUGUGGGGGAUAACUGGCCGAAAGGCCCGCUAAUACCGCAUAAUAUUUCCGUGACUUACGAAUGGGAAUCAAAGCUGGGGAUCUUCGGACCUGGCACAUGAAGAGGGGCUUGCGUCUGAUUAGCUAGUUGGUGGGGUAAUGGCUCACCAAGGCGACGAUCAGUAGCCGACCUGAGAGGGUGAUCGGCCACACUGGAACUGAGACACGGUCCAG